CCUACGGGUGGCAGCAGUGAGGAAUAUUGGUCAAUGGGCGCAGGCCUGAACCAGCCAAGUCGCGUGAGGGAAGACUGCCCUAUGGGUUGUAAACCUCUUUUAUAAGGGAAGAAUAAUGACUACGUGUAGUCAGAUGCCCGUACCUUAUGAAUAAGCAUCGGCUAACUCCGUGCCAGCAGCCGCGGUAAUACGGAGGAUGCGAGCGUUAUCCGGAUUUAUUGGGUUUAAAGGGUGCGCAGGGGGAGGCUCAAGUCAGCGGUAAAAUGGCGGGGCUCAACCUCGCUCCGCCGUUGAAACUGUGUGCCUUGAGUGCGCGAAGGGUAGGCGGAAUGCGUGGUGUAGCGGUGAAAUGCAUAGAUAGCACGCAGAACUCCGAUCGCGAAGGCAGCCUACCGGCGCGCAACUGACGCUCAUGCACGAAAGCGUGGGUAUCGAACAGGAUUAGAUACCCGGGUAGUC
rnacentral:rRNA from 1 species